rnacentral:rRNA from 1 species
GAUGAACGCUGGCGGCGUGCCUAAUACAUGCGAGUCGAGCGAACAGACGAGGAGCUUGCUCCUCUGACGUUAGCGGCGGACGGGUGAGUAACACGUGGAUAACCUACCUAUAAGACUGGGAUAACUUCGGGAAACCGGAGCUAAAACCGGAUAAUAUAUUGAACCGCAUGGUUCAAUAGUGAAAGACGGUUUUGCUGUCACUUAUAGAUGGAUCCGCGCCGCAUUAGCUAGUUGGUAAGGUAACGGCUUACCAAGGCAACGAUGCGUAGCCGACCUGAGAGGGUGAUCGGCCACACUGGAACUGAGACACGGUCCAGACUCCUACGGGAGGCAGCAGUAGGGAAUCUUCCGCAAUGGGCGAAAGCCUGACGGAGCAACGCCGCGUGAGUGAUGAAGGUCUUCGGAUCGUAAAACUCUGUUAUUAGGGAAGAACAAAUGUGUAAGUAACUAUGCACGUCUUGACGGUACCUAAUCAGAAAGCCACGGCUAACUACGUG